rnacentral:rRNA from 1 species
AGAGUUUGAUCCUGGCUCAGGACAAACGCUGGCGGCGUGCCUAACACAUGCAAGUCAAGGAGAACGUCCCCUUCGGGGGACUAUUAAACUGGCGGACGGGUGAGUAACGCGUAGGUAACCUGCCCCAGAGACCGGGACAACCCAUCGAAAGACGGGCUAAUACCGGAUGAUGCAGCGGAUCCUCAGGGAUAUGUUGUUAAAGGGGGCCUUCGGGUCCUGCUUUGGGAUGGGCCUGCGUCCGAUUAGUUAGUUGGUAAGAUAAAAGCUUACCAAGGCGAUGAUCGGUAGCUGGUCUGAGAGGAUGAUCAGCCACACUGGGAUUGAGAUACGGCCCAGACUCCUACGGGAGGCAGCAGUGGGGAAUCUUGCGCAAUGGGCGAAAGCCUGACGCAGCAACGCCGCGUGACUGAUGAAGCUUCUAGGAGUGUAAAGGUCUGUCGUGAGGGAAGAACAGUAUCCAUGUAAAUAGCAUGGGCAUUUGACGGUACCUCACAAGAAAGCACCGGCUAACUUCGUGCCAGCAGCCGCGGUAAUACGAGGGGUGCUAGCGUUGUCCGGAAUCACUGGGCGUAAAGGGCGCGUAGGCGUCUUAGCAAGCCUUGAUUGAAAUCCCCCGGCUCAACCGGGGAACUGGUCAGGGAACUGCUAGGAUAGAGUUUGGUAGGGGAGAGCGGAAUUCCUGGUGUAGCGGUGAUAUGCGUAGAUAUCAGGAGGAACACCUAAAGCGAAGGCAGCUCUCUGGGCCAAUACUGACGCUGAGGCGCGAAAGCGUGGGGAGCAAACAGGAUUAGAUACCCUGGUAGUCCACGCCGUAAACGAUGAGCACUUGGUGUCGGGGGAUUCGACCCCCUCGGUGCCGUAGCUAACGUGUUAAGUGCUCCGCCUGGGGACUACGACCGCAAGGUUGAAACUCAAAGGAAUUGACGGGGGCCCGCACAAGCGGUGGAACAUGUGGUUUAAUUCGAUGCAACGCGAAGAACCUUACCUGGGCUUGACAUGUCAGUGAAAGCUCCGUGAAAGCGGAGCCCUCUGCGAGCUUGCUCAAAGACACUGUCACAGGUGGUGCAUGGCUGUCGUCAGCUCGUGUCGUGAGAUGUUUGGUGAAGUUCCUCUACGAGCGCAACUUUUUUCCUUAGUUGCCAGUACGUUAUGGUUGGUACUUUAAGG